UAAUCGACUGGUUCGAUUUGUUUUGAAUAAAUGGGUGUCUAUUGUGAAUUGUACUGACUUGCAGGUGAGAUCUGAGGCCAAGGUAAGUCCUAUGCCCUGUGCGUGUUUAGGCAGCCUGUAGUAUAAUAGUUUACUAAUCGGGCUUGGUGGGGUAGAACUCGCUGAGACGUAGUCUCAUCCCAGUUUGGGGAAAACAUUUCAGGACCCCGAUGAGGAGCUGAUGAGGAGGAGUCUGAGAAUGAGAACUCGGAGGUGAAACUUGAGGAGAA
rnacentral:lncRNA from 1 species